rnacentral:rRNA from 1 species
UACAGAGGGGGCAAGCGUUAUUCGGAAUUAUUGGGCGUAAAGGGCGCGUAGGCGGCCUGGCAAGUGGAAGGUGAAGUCCCUCGGCUUAACCGAGGAACUGCCUCCCAAACUGCUUGGCUUGAGACCAGGAGAGGUGAGUGGAAUUCCCAGUGUAGCGGUGAAAUGCGUAGAUAUUGGGAGGAACACCAGUGGCGAAGGCGGCUCACUGGACUGGUACUGACGCUGAGGCGCGAAAGCGUGGGGAGCAAACGGG